CUUCAGCACCAAUCAAUAAGGACUGCAGAUGGGGAAAGAGAAAAGAAUUCACCAGGAAAGGAAGAAUGGAGCAAGUGCUGAAAGGAGGAGGGAGAGAUAUGUCUUUGGAGAGGAGUAGGGGGAAGUGCACUUUCAGGAAAAGGCCAAGAUGAACAUCUUACCAGAAGCUGUAGAAGAACCACGUGGUUCUAGGGUGAGAUUCAACAAGUCCCAGGGAAUCGAUAGGUGGCCUAAAUCCAGUUUAGUAGAGAAAACCACCUUGAUGCAGUCAGGAAAGGAGAAGGUCCACAGAUCACAAGGCAAAAGUUGCUGAUGCUUCCUGAGCCAACAGAAAGCAGCCAGAAGAUGAUCACUCACACAGCAGCAGUUCAAGCCCCAACCAGCUGCCCACUCCACAGCUGCACAAUGUGAUGCAAUAGUUCCGGGCUAUUAAUAGUCUCUCCCAAGGAGUCCCAAGCUGGUACUGGACAGGCCUGAUUGAGGAUCCUGAUUUGUUGCCCCUUCAAACAAGUGCAGUUAAAAAAAUUAAACUAUCACUUAUAUAUUCCGA